rnacentral:sRNA from 1 species
GUCGCCGCAUAUUCGGCGACCGGGAUUGGCGUCCCGGAACCUGAGGCGCACAAGCGCCCAUCGAUCGAUGCAUGGCGCUUUUUUU